rnacentral:lncRNA from 1 species
UAUUUACUUAUCUGUCAGCGGUCCCUGAGCUGCUCCCACCUUUUGGCUACUGUGGACGAUGCUGCUGUGAACCUCGGUGUGCAAAUAUCUGUUUGAGUUCCUGCUUUCAUUUCUUGUGGGAAUAUGCCCAGAAAUGGAAUUUGCUGGAUGAGCCCUGCAGGGUGUGGCCCUGCUGGUCAUCACCAUUUUACAGAAGAAUUAACCCAGACUCAAAGCCUCUGAGCAGCUCACUCAAGGUCAUGGAACUAGCAAAGAGCUAAGCCAAAACUCAAACUCCUGCUGUGUACGCCAAAGUCAGGCCCCUGACCAUGCUGCUGUCUGCCUCAGUUUCCCCUGCAGCAAAAUGGAGCUGGUGGUCUGGACCUUGUCUGCCUCAGAGGGAUGUCAGAGGCUCGAACUGUGCAGGUGAACUCUUCUGUCAGCAUCAGAGUGGGGCUUAAGCUCCAUGAAUUGAUAUCAUAACCC